CUUCUUUCUUUCUUCUUUCUUUCCCGAUCAGCCCCGACAGUGCUCCUCCCAGCCCGAUGCGACGGUCGACGGCGGCGGAGGAGCUCUCCUCUCCCCUCUUUUCUUCUUUUUAUUUUCUUUCUUUGCUCUUUUUUUCCCUUUUUUGUUUGCUGUUUUUUUUCUUUGUCUUUGCUUUUUUUUUUAUUGGCUUUCUUUGUCUUUGGUGGAUGGGGGAACGACGGCUGGUGGUGAGGGACGGCGGUGGACGCGGCGGCGUGGGGCUUUUCGCUGCUGUUUUUUGCUUGAUUUUGUGACAGUGGAGCAAUCAUGGCCUAGGGAGGCUUUGGAGUAGCUGGAGGUGGGAGGAGCACGUCCGACUGCUGAUUGGGGGUGAUUUGACAAGUCCAGAAGGACUAAAUUGUAGAAGGCGUAAAAUUUUUGGGACAAAAGUGUAAUUUUAAAAAAAUAUAGGGCUAAAAUGUAAUUUUUAGAAAUUUUAGGGGCCCGAAUGUAAUUUUAAAAUUUUUAUUUGUUCUUA